UGUAAUACGACUCCACUAAUAGGGCAAUGAACGUUGGCGGCGUGGAUUAGGCAUGCAAGUCGAGCGAGAACCCCGCAAGGGGGGACAGCGGCGCAAGGGACAGUAAUGUGUAGAUCAUCUGCCCUCAGGCCCGGGAUAGCUGCGGGAAACUGCAGGUAAUACCGGAUAACAUCUCCGGAUCAAAGGUGUGAUUCCGCCUGAGGAUGAGUCUGCAUCCUAUUAGCUAGUUGGCAGGGUAACGGCCUACCAAGGCAUUGAUGGGUAGCGGGUGUGAGAGCACGACCCGCGUCAUUGGGACUGAGACACUGCCCAGACACCUACGGGUGGCUGCAGUCGAGAAUCUUCGGCAAUGGGCGCAAGCCUGACCGAGCGACGCCGCGUGUGGGAUGAAGGCCUUCGGGUUGUAAACCACUGUCAGAGGGGAUGAAAUGCAGGUGGGUUCUCCCAUCUGUUUGACAUAGCCUCAGAGGAAGGACGGGCUAAGUUCGUGCCAGCAGCCGCGGUAAGACGAACCGUCCAAACGUUAUUCGGAAUUACUGGGCUUAAAGGGUGCGUAGGCGGCGCGGAAAGUUGGGUGUGAAAUCCCUCGGCUCAACCGAGGAACUGCGCCCAAUACUACCGUGCUUGAGGGAGAUAGAGGUGAGCGGAACUUAGGGUGGAGCGGUGAAAUGCGUUGAUAUCCUAAGGAACACCGGUGGCGAAAGCGGCUCACUGGAUCUCUUCUGACGCUGAGGCACGAAAGCUAGGGUAGCGAACGGGAUUAGAUACCCCGGUAGUCCUAGCCGUAAACGAUGAGCACUGGAUUGGAGGGUCCUCCAUAGCCUUCCAGUCGCAACGAAAGCGUUAAGUGCUCCGCCUGGGGAGUAUGGUCGCAAGGCUG
rnacentral:rRNA from 1 species